GAAAGGUCCCGCGUAGCAAAUGGAAGUGGCCCGGAAUGUGUCGAAAGUGAAUGUCGUUUCACCGAGAAAUCCUGCAGCACGGGUUAUUUCCGUCAUGGUUGCACCGUCACCCUCGUCCAAACACCUACACCGAAGUCGCGCGACACAUUACAGCAUAAGGGCUCUCAUAAAUAUCGUCCCAUUCCUUUGGCCGCGGUUGUCGACGCCGCGCGGCCGGUCAGGCGCUUUGGGCUUCCUAGAUAGGCAAGAGUGGAGGGUGGUUCGGAGAAGUUGGUGAUGCAAAUUUCCUAACACGCGAGAGAUAAAGCCGCCCCUUCUGUCCAAGUUUUCGUUCACGAUGUGCUGAACGAUUAAAGUGAACGCCUCCUGUGCGCUGGGACGAGGCGGAAUGAAAGAAAUACUCUUUGAACGCGGUGGCCAACUGUAGCCGGCAAGAGGGAGGAGUUCGCGGACUGUUCCGCAGACGAUUACGCCUCUGAUGUAAUUUAUUGCGCGGGAAAGCGGCGUGCGGUCGCACCGUAACACGAGAACCAAGGAAAAUCUGCGCCAACUUCACCGAUGAAAUUCAUAUGCAAACAGCUCGUGCAAUAUUUGACACGCUUAUGAAUUUAUUGAGAAAACAACAUCGCAUCGCGGGUUCCCACGCGCUUAAUACUAAUCAAUACAUUGCUCUCUCUCUCAUUUAAUUGUCCUAAUAUUUCGAUACGUUCGAACAUAUAUCGUUAAAACCAUCUGAAGCUUACUCCUUUGUUUAACGUUUUUAAUAGGUUAUCCAUAAUCCAGGAAAAAAAAAUUUGUAUUCUUUCAAGGGGUGGCUUCACCCCUUGAAAAUGAAAUUCGGUACGAAACAAAAUCGCAAUGUAUUAGGCUUGGCUUACUCUACUUAUACGCAAAGUUCCCUUGUUACUUAAAUCAGAUAAUUAAACUGCUUUUAAUGUCCCAAAUCUUUUAAAUAUUCCAAAUAUUAACU